AGCAGCUUCUGGUUGGUUGAAGCGGAAGAGCCCUAGCGAAAGAGAAAGUUGCCUGCAUGCCAUGAGCUGAAUCCCAUCUGAUGUAGACGUUCAAGCGACGGCCUACAACACAAGAAGACUAGAACAGUGCAAAAUGGUGUAUAUAAUGAAGUGCUGCUCAUGGGUCCUUCACCGCUCUGCCGGACAGUCAGCUCUUUCAUACAGAGAACUCAGAGCGUCUGAACCCCACCGGAGGGCGGUAUUUAUCCACCAGGAGAUUGCAGUAGCACCUCAUCUCACACUGAGGCUCUCUAAUGGCACAGCGCGGCUCCCACAACGCCACAGACACAGAGGGACAGAGGCCUCCAUCAUCUUUGGGUGUCUGGAGAAGUUGGACUGGAGUGUGAACCCGCUGGGUGACGGACCCUGUCCUGCCUGCUGUCAGCCUGCCCCCUAAUGGCCAGCUUCCCCCUGCUGGCCUGCAUCUUCAAACCCUGCUGCUUGUAGCUACACAGCCUCCUACGGGCCAGCGCCUUCGCAGGAAUAAAGCAACACCGCCUCUUACUGGCCAGCACACUGGCAGGAACAGGGCACCUGAAGUUGGUGAAUCUGUCCCAUAAUGCCCUGUGCUCUAUGGGCUUUGAGCUGGUCCUGAAGACUCUGCCUCUCCAAUGUCUCACUCAACUCGAUCUGUCUGCCAUCCGCUGUGGAACCGCUGACCACCCUCCUUCAAAACAUCUGACGAUGACUGCUCCCUGACCCACCUGAGUCUUGCAGGAAAUCAACUGAUGGACGGCAGAGUGGCCACCCUCGCCAGGUGUGUGUUUGUGGUUUCUCUCAAUGUAUAUCACCCUUGUCCUUCUAUAUUUAGCUGCCUGGGUCUUUUCCAAGUGUCUGCCCUGUACACUACCUCUGGAUCGUGUGACCUGACUGUCCAGUACUGAGCUCUGUAAGUUCAGUGUGUCCUGCUGUCCAGGUGUUGGCCUGUCUGUCUCUCCGUGGUGUAUGUGGACCUGUGAGAGAAACAGGCAGGGACCUCAGCGGGACUCCACAGCCUCCUCUCCACCCAGUGACUUUUGACCUAUCUGAACGUCCAUGCAACCUCCCAACAUUUGCUGAUUGACUGAAGAAAUGGUCAAGCUGAGAAAUGAUUAAAUCGCUUUGAUCUGUCAUGUUCCCCCUAGUCUCUUCCC
ensembl:lncRNA